rnacentral:rRNA from 1 species
CUAGACCUGAAAUCAGUCGAGGUUACCCGCUGAAUUUAAGCAUAUUACUAAGCGGAGGAAAAGAAAAUAACUAUGAUUCCCUCAGUAACGGCGAGUGAAGCGGGAUGAGCUCAAAGUGAAAAUCGCUGUUUCUUUUGAAACCGCGAAUUGUAGCCUCUAGAGGCGUUGCCAGUGGAGAAGCAGGUCUAAGUUUCUUGGAACAGAACUUUCAGAGAGGA